rnacentral:rRNA from 1 species
CUACGGGCGGCUCCAGUGGGGAAUAUUGGACAAUGGGGGAAACCCUGAUCCAGCAAUGCCGCGUGUGUGAAGAAGGCCUGCGGGUUGUAAAGCACUUUCGGUUGGGAGGACUGCUUCUAGCACUAAUAUUGUUGGAAGUUGACGUUACCUUCAGAAGAAGCACCGGCUAACUCCGUGCCAGCAGCCGCGGUAAUACGGAGGGUGGCAAGCGUUAAUCGGAAUUACUGGGUGUAAAGCGCGCGUAGGCGGCUAGAUCAGUCGGGUGUGAAAGCCCCGGGCUUAACCUGGGAACUGCAUCCGAUACUGUCUAGCUUGAGUACAGGAGAGGAGAGUGGAAUUCCACAUGUAGCGGUGAAAUGCGUAGAUAUGUGGAGGAACACCAAUGGCGAAGGCAGCUCUCUGGCCUGAUACUGACGCUGAGGUGCGAAAGCGUGGGGAGCAAACAGGAUUAGAUACCCCUGUAGUC